GAGAUGACAAGAUCAACUGGCAAGGACUUAUGAGGGACUGUGGAGUAUGAAGUUUGUCUAAUUACUGGCUAGAGUAUGAAGUUUGGUCAUCAGAAAUGUCCAUCAAGGGGUUGUGGAGACCUGGGGGAACUACUGACCAGCCAGAGCGCUCUUUUGGCCCCAGAAGAUCUGAUCAAAAUCCUCCAAGUGGUCCCAGGAGCUCAGGAAGGUGUAAACACGCUUGAGGAUAGUCUCCAGCGCCCUAAGACAGGAAACUUGGUGCCAGUUGUUGGGGUCUGACCAGAGGCACAGUGGAAUUUUGGGGUAUCAAGAAGCCUGUAGACACCAUCCAGCUGCUGAUGCAUUCACCACGCAGGUACAGGUUUACUUGCUGGGCGGCUCCAAACCUUCCAGUACCUGGACUCUUUUCAGAACUGAACUACAGGGUGAGAUCUAAGCUUUUUAAAAAACUUUAUUUUGACUGAGCAGUGAAGAAUCCUGGGCGGCGGGCACUGAAAGCCGGAGAAUGCUCCGGACCCCGGACUGGGCCAACAACACCUGGGUGCCCCAGAUGGAGAAGGUGCAGAGUCCCUGCCUUCUCCAGAUGGAACCCCGGCGACACUGAGCUUCUACUAACACAGCUCCCAUCUGUGGAGACCCGGACUAUUUCUCCAAAAUAUUUCUCCUUUCCUGAUAUACAAAAAACCACUCAGGAACAGCUUCUCCACCCCUGAGAGGCCAUGAUUCCAGAGGCACACAGACCAAUCUUGGAACGCAGCAACUGCUGGCAGAAAUAUCUCUGGACUUAAUUACUAAGAUACCAGAAUUCCAAAACCGUGCGGCCGCUUUUGUGGCCAUGCAACAUCAUAUGUUCUUCAUUAUUAGCAGUAGAAAACAAAUGAUCUAAUGAUGCCUUUUCAGCAGACCUGAUUGUUGGGGGGAAAAUUCCAGAUAAUAAUAGUGGGGGUUUUCUGUCGAAAAUUGAAUGUAAUCAAAGUAAAGAGAGAGUAAAGUGAAAAUCAUCUGCCACACAGGCAGGGUGGGGAGUGGGAGGGUGGUAUACUGGGGUUCUUGGUGGUGGAACAUGUGCACUGGUGAAGGGAUUGUUGUUGGAUCAUUGUAUGACUGAGACUUAAUCCUGAAAGCUUUGUAACUGUUCUCAUGAUUAUUCAAUAAAAUUUUAAAAAAUAAACCCUUUAUUUUUAUAAAAUUGCUCACAGUAAUUCAUUAUAUUUAAUAUAUGUGUAUUUUUAAUACACAAACACCAAUUUCACCACCAUUGCACCUUUCCACUACCGUACUUUGAAUGUUUCCACCCCAAAUCCCAAACCAUGCUCCCCAAAGCAGAACUGGAACAAUUAAUUUUGCAUUGCUUGUUAUGAAUAAUCUGUUAAAAAUGGUCCAAUAAAGUUUUCUUAAAGAAAA